AAUUUCUAUGAAAGGAGAGAGGGAUAGCACUCCCCUUGACAAAGAUGGAUGAGACUCUGUGCUUAACAACACUGUGUGUGGUUAAAAGCAGUGCCAUGUGCUUUGGGGCAUCUGGUGUGUGUGUGU